GCGGCGCAGGUGCAGGUGCAGGUGCAGGGACCUCGGGGCUCGGCCGCUUCCUGUGGCCCCGCGCAUCCCCCACCCCCCCCGCAGUGCGCAGGUGCGAAGGCGCCCGCGGGGGUCCACGGGCUGGGGGGGGGGGCUCCAGGCAGCGCCCUCGCCGCCGACCCGCAGGUGCCGGAGCGCAGCCGGGUCAGGCCCCAGGCGGGCCCUGCACCCCCCAGGAGGGCCCGGCUCAGCGGGCGGGGCUCCCCGAGAGGCCGCGGUUGCCUGCCGGGCUCCCGAGGGUCUUCCCCGCGGCGCAUCCCCUCCCGCGGCAGGAAUGGACAUGUGGUUUGUCUCCAGGCCCCUGAAUAGACAUCUAGCUUGUGGAAUCUUGACCUUGUAUAAUAUUAUCUGAAUGCCACGAAGCAUAAAUGACAAGAAUCUUUGCUGCAGCCACUUUCUCCAGACUUUCCAGCUAUUUAGUUCCUCUUUUGGUUUGCUGUUAAUCAUUAAUAAUAUCUUAGCUUUUGUUCCUUUUACGAGUUGACCAUUAGAAAAAAAUGCUUUUAUAGGUUGAUCGUUUUAUUUACAAUAUUGGGAAUUUUUCUUAUAGCUAUUGUUUUGGCUUAUUGUUUCUGUUGUCUCCCACCCGUCCAUCCCCCAAACUCCAGGCUAAGGACAAUGUCCUUUAACUAUCCAUGCUUU
rnacentral:lncRNA from 1 species